GAUGAAGAACGCAGCGAAAUGCGAUAAGUAAUGUGAAUUGCAGAAUUCAGUGAAUCAUCGAAUCUUUGAACGCACAUUGCGCCCGCUAUUAUUCUGGCGGGCAUGCCUGUCCGAGCGUCAUUUCAACCCUCAAGCCCCCGGGCUUGGUGUUGGGGAUCGGCGAGCCUCCGCGCCCGCCGUCCCCUAAAUCUAGUGGCGGUCUCGCUGUAGCUUCCUCUGCGUAGUAGCACACCUCGCACUGGGAAACAGCGCGGCCACGCCGUUAAACCCCCAACUUCUGAACGUUUGACCUCGGAUCAGGUAGGAAUACCCGCUGAACUUAAGCAUAUCAAUAAGCGGAGGA
rnacentral:misc_RNA from 1 species